rnacentral:rRNA from 1 species
CACGUAGGGUGCGAGCGUUAAUCGGAAUUACUGGCGUAAAGCGUGCGCAGGCGGUCUGUUAAGACCGAUGUGAAAUCCCCGGGCUUAACCUGGGAACUGCAUUUGUGACUGCAUAGCUAGAGUACGGUAGAGGGGGAUGGAAUUCCGCGUGUAGGCAGUGAAAUGCGUAGAUAUGACGGAGGAACACCGAUGGCGAAGGCAAUCCCCUGGACCUGUGACUGACGCUCAUGCACGAAAGCG